UUUGUGUCUUAAUAGAUAACCUUUAAUUUCCUUAGGGCUUAAUUUAUGACAGGAUGACACAGACAGGUAUAUACAUAAUCAGAUUUAUGAAUAAUUUUACCUUUCUAAACACUGAAUACAUUCCUUAUGAGUUAUGUUGAUGAAAGUAAAUUUUUGGUUUCUCAAUGAUCCAAUCUAUGUAUUACCAUGUGAUUAUUCCUUUUAAUCUAAUACUUGUGGAGAUUUUAUGUAAUCUAAUACUUAACGGACAUUUCAUGUAAGGCAUCUGGAACAAAUCAUUCUACAGUAUUUAGGUUGUUUAGGAAAACUGUAACUAGUUUAAAAAAAACUAUAACAUAGUAUGAUUGGGGGGGGUAUAGGAUGUUAUCCAUGUGAUUUUACCUCUGGAUGUAUCUCACAUUCAUUUAUUUUUAUUUUUUUAUUAUUAUUUUUUGAGACGGAGUCUUGCUCUGUCAUCCAAGCUGGAGUGCAGUGGCAUGAUCUCGGCUCACUGCAACCUCUGCCUCCCAGGUUCAAGCAAUUCUCCCUGCCUCAACCUCCUGAGUAGCUGGGAUAACAGGUGCCCGCCACCACACCCAGCGAAUUUUUGUAUUUUUAGUUGAGAUGGGGUUUGGCCAUGUUGGCCAGGCUGUUCUUGAACUCCUGACCUCAGGUGAUCUGCCCACCUAGGCCUCCCAAAGUGCUGGGAUUAUAGGCGUGAGCCACCGUGCCUGGCCUCAUAUUUAAAUAUGGAGGUGGUUACUGGGACUAUACCUUACCUGUCUUAUCACAUGUCUCUCCACUACUUAUUAAAAUUAAGAAUGUUAAUCUUCUCCCUUUAAUUCCUUUAUCAGUAAGGGCUUAUUGAAUAUUUGCUGUGUACACAGAAUGGUUCCUUUCACUUAAUAAACUUAGAGACUAGUUGAAGAGAUAAAACUUGCACAAAUGAAACAAAGUGGUAAAAUGCAUUUUUAAAAGAUCAUAAACAAGAAGGGGAUUUUUAUUUUUAUGCAGAAGAAAUAUUUUUUAAAAGAAUUUUGUUUACGCCAGGUGCAGUGCCUCACACCCGUAAUCCCAGCACUUUAGAGGCCAAAGUGGGUAGAUUGCUUGAGCCCAGGAGUUCGAGACCAGCCUGGGCCACGUGGUGAAACCCUGUCUCUACAAAAAGUACAAGAAUUCACUGGGCAUGAUGGCACCUGUAGUCCCAGCUGGGAGGGACUACUUGGGAGGCUGAGGUGGG
rnacentral:lncRNA from 1 species